rnacentral:rRNA from 1 species
AUUGAACGCUGGCGGCAUGCCUUACACAUGCAAGUCGAACGGCAGCGCGGACUUCGGUCUGGCGGCGAGUGGCGAACGGGUGAGUAAUACAUCGGAACGUACCCUGUUGUGGGGGAUAACUAGUCGAAAGAUUAGCUAAUACCGCAUACGACCUGAUGGUGAAAGUGGGGGACCGCAAGGCCUCACGCAGCAGGAGCGGCCGAUGUCUGAUUAGCUAGUUGGUGGGGUAAAAGCCCACCAAGGCGACGAUCAGUAGCUGGUCUGAGAGGACGAUCAGCCACACUGGGACUGAGACACGGCCCAGACUCCUACGGGAGGCAGCAGUGGGGAAUUUUGGACAAUGGGGGCAACCCUGAUCCAGCAAUGCCGCGUGUGUGAAGAAGGCCUUCGGGUUGUAAAGCACUUUUGUCCGGAAAGAAAUCGCGCUGGUUAAUACCUGGCGUGGAUGACGGUACCGGAAGAAUAAGCACCGGCUAACUACGUG